rnacentral:rRNA from 1 species
UACGAAGGGAGCUAGCGUUGUUCGGAAUCACUGGGCGUAAAGCGCACGUAGGCGGAUGUGUCAGUCAGGGGUGAAAUCCCGGAGCUCAACUUCGGAACUGCAGUCGAUACGAGCAAACUAGAGUGUUGCAGGGGAGACUGGAAUUCCUGGUGUAGCGGUGAAAUGCGCAGAUAUCAGGAGGAACACCGGUGGCGAAGGCGGCAUCCUGGACCGAUACUGACGCUGAGGAGCGAAAGCCAGGGGAGCAAACGGG